GCUUUGGUGGUAUUGUGGUGAGCAUACUGCCUUCUAAGCAGUUGACCCGGGUUCGAUUCCUGGCCAAUGCA
rnacentral:tRNA from 1 species